rnacentral:rRNA from 1 species
UAGGGAAUCUUCCGCAAUGGGCGAAAGCCUGACGGAGCAACGCCGCGUGAGUGAUGAAGGUCUUCGGAUCGUAAAACUCUGUUAUUAGGGAAGAACAAAUGUGUAAGUAACUAUGCACGUCUUGACGGUACCUAAUCAGAAAGCCACGGCUAACUACGUGCCAGCAGCAGCGGUAAUACGUAGGUGGCAAGCGUUAUCCGGAAUUAUUGGGCGUAAAGCGCGCGUAGGCGGUUUUUUAAGUCUGAUGUGAAAGCCCACGGCUCAACCGUGGAGGGUCAUUGGAAACUGGAAAACUUGAGUGCAGAAGAGGAAAGUGGAAUUCCGUGUGUAGCGGUGAAAUGCGCAGAGAUAUGGAGGAACACCAGUGGCGAAGGCGACUUUCUGGUCGAUAACUGACGCUGAUGUGCGAAAGCGGGGGGAUCAAACAGG